rnacentral:tRNA from 1 species
UCCCUGGCAGUCCAGUGGCUAAGACUCUGCACUUCCAUUGCAGGAGGCCCAGGUUUAAUCCCUGGUCAGGGUA